UACGGGGGGGGGCAAGCGCUGUUCGGAAUUACUGGGCGUAAAGGGUGCGCAGGCCGCGCGGGCAGUCAAAUGUGUAAUUCAGGGGCUCAACCCCUGCACUGCGCUUGAUACUUCCGCGCUCGAGCUUUGGAGAGGAGUCUGGAAUUCUCGGUGUAGCAGUGAAAUGCGUGGAUAUCGAGAAGAACACUUAGGGCGUAGGCAAGACUCUGGACAAAUGCUGACGCUCAUGCACGAAGGCUAGGGUAGCGAACGGG
rnacentral:rRNA from 1 species